rnacentral:misc_RNA from 1 species
ACAGUACACAGAGCUACUUGUGAAUUAGAGAAAAUAGAAAUUUGACGGACCAAACUGAUGAGAAAUUUUCUACAGGGAGACCGGAAACAGCGAAAGUGAUGUGUUCAGAUUGUACAUACUUAUUUGUAGAACUUGUGUACACCUAUUUAUAUUGACAUUGUAAACUAGAGAUGGCUGCCCAUAGUGCCCUGUGUUGUUACAAAGUGACGUUGCCAUUGUGGAUCAAAUCCUAGGAUCUGGUGGCGCUAUUUAAUUCUUCUCUCUUUCCUUUUCUCUCUAUCCUCAAAUGAGUCGGAUGUGUCAGCCCUGCAGUGACUGAGUGUGAAUUAAACAUGCCGUGUAUUUUUGUGCCUAUUGAGAAACAAUUUACAGGAUUGAUUUGGCUUCAUUUUUCACUUUUUAAGUUCACGUAGUUUUGUUUCUUCUUUUUAAAUAUUAUUUUGGCAUCUGUCAGUUUAAGAAUUUUGUCGAUUUUGGAAAGAGAAAUCUGCCAAAAUGACAGCAAAGAUUUCUGUCGGCCAUGCUAAAUAUGAGACUUGUGACUGUUACAUUAUAGUGUGUAUGUACUGUAAAAACCUAUGGAUGUGGAAUCUCGUCGCACACAAACUCACGCACUGAAUUGUUAUCAUAACCUGUUGAUUGUUAUUUCUGCUCCCACAUCUACUGGAAGUCUAUUUGAUCUGUUUGAAUUGGCCUUUUCUCAAAUUUCUUGUUUUCUGUCUAUAUCUCUCUCUCUUCUUGACUAAUGCUAUACAAUACAUGAUAUCAUGGUUAUCAAUAAAUGAUUUAACUA